rnacentral:rRNA from 1 species
GACGAACCGUACGAACGUUAUUCGGAAUCACUGGGCGUAAAGCGCACGUAGGCGGAUUGUUAAGUCAGGGGUGAAAUCCUGGAGCUCAACUCCAGAACUGCCUUUGAUACUGGCGAUCUCGAGUCCGGGAGAGGUGGGUGGAACUGCGAGUGUAGAGGUGAAAUUCGUAGAUAUUCGCAAGAACACCAGUGGCGAAGGCGGCUCACUGGCCCGGUACUGACGCUGAGGUGCGAAAGCGUGGGGAGCAAACAGG